AUUGAACGCUGGCGGCAUGCCUUACACAUGCAAGUCGAACGGCAGCACGGGAGCAAUCCUGGUGGCGAGUGGCGAACGGGUGAGUAAUAUAUCGGAACGUGCCCAGUCGUGGGGGAUAACGUAGCGAAAGCUACGCUAAUACCGCAUACGAUCUAUGGAUGAAAGCGGGGGAUCGUAAGACCUCGCGCGAUUGGAGCGGGCCGAUAUCAGAUUAGGUAGUUGGUGAGGUAAGGCUCACCAAGCCGACGAUCUGUAGCUGGUCUGAGAGGACGACCAGCCACACUGGGACUGAGACACGGCCCAGACUCCUACGGGAGGCAGCAGUGGGGAAUUUUUGGACAAUGGGCGCAAGCCUGAUCCAGCAAUG
rnacentral:rRNA from 1 species